GCAAUUUCACUUUCACAGGAAUCCUGAUUAUUUGUCAGACUGUCUCCAUUCCUCUUCCUCAGUCUUCCUGGACAUUGUUUCUGUUUGUUUUAUAGCUACACAGUUAUGAGAACAGACGGGGACAGAAACCCUGAUGUUUUUAUCUGCCCAUCCGUCUCUCACUCUCCUGUAAAUGUUCUCAUUUUACCCGUCCAUUCCACUUUCCACUGCAGAAACUUUCAGCACAUACAGGACGUCUUACAUCAUUAUAUUCCUCCACACACAAACACAACUGAGAAGACCUGUUAACCUUCAUUCCUCCACCCUACCUACCCACACAAACACACACCUCCUCUACCUCACACUUCCUUUUUGAGUCUCCUUCAAUUCCAAUCACUACUCUCCGCCCUGUUUUCCCCCCCUGUCUUUCUUUGAAAAAGCGCCAGUGCUUGCUAAUCUGUCAAUCAGAUGUUGUCCUGUUGUGGCGAUGAUGGGGGUCCGUGACGGUGGGCCAUACACCUCCAACAGCUCGCAGCUCGGAGCGGCUCGAUGAUUAACCAGGCAGGUAGUGAGUCAAACUGCUGACAGCAGAAACACACUGACAGCUGAUUUGGAAGACAAUGGUCCCGCUCCCUCUACUUAACUUGUCAUGGCAGUCAAAGCACCUUCUCCAUUAACUUCUGACACAUCUGGAGAGAUGGAGGGAAACACUAAUUUACUGCACUGCGCUCAUAGAUGUUUGGACAUGUUCACAUAGGCACAAAUACCCAUAAACAUCCAAACAGAUCUAUUUUUGGAAGACAGCAAACAAAUGUUAUCAUGUUAUCAGUAAGUCACUCGUAAAACAAUCCACGGUAUAAACCGCGACGAAGCGCUGGUUAACAUGAAAAAAAAAAUGCAGCACAAAAUGUAAAACUGGAAGUGGAAAGUUGAAAAAGCUUGUUAUGAGAAGUUCUGAUUUAUGGCCUCAGUGUUUCAUUAGAGGUCCAGCAGAGCAUGAAAGUGGAUAACAGUAUAAUGGCUUUAUUAAAGUACUUACUGUUCUUAUUGUGGUUGUGAUAUUACUGUGAAUGGCUUAUCGGAAACUGAGAUACUUUAACUGUAUAUACAGAAGGCUGUACAGUUUGGUGACAAAACCCGACAUCGCCUUGUCUCUCAGAUUAAUAGUCCAACACUUCCCAAUUAUUAACCGCCCCUGCAGUGUACCAUUCAUAUUCAAAGCUGUUUACCUCCCUCCACUUCCUGUGCUUUGUGUCUUGUGUCUUUACAGGAGGGAAUGGACGACGCAGGCAGAUGUGUCAAUCAAACAGCAGCCCCCAACCACCAGUGGCUGCCCAUAGACAGCCGUCCAUACACCUCCACCAGCUACGGUCCCUCCUCAGCUCAAUGAGUAACUAACCUGCAGCUAUUCUCUUUCUUUUUGCAAAUGUCUAGGAGUUGCAAGCAGGUUCAACCAAAGAGUGAUGUUCCCACCUUGGAUGGAGGCCAGAAGAGGUUAAGCUAUCCAGUAUUCCACAAUGACAACACAAAGAUUUAUUUUACAUCCCUUUGGAAAUUCCCAGCCCCCAGGAUAGGAACCACUGCUUUACAGUCAUGGGAAAACUGCAAGGGAACUAUUUGUUUAUUGUAAUUUUUGCUGAUAUAGUAAUUAAAGUGAUUUAACUUUUGCU